UGCAGUUUUGAGCAAUUAUGCAUCAAUUACACAAAUGUAAAGCUGCCAUGACUUUUCAACCAGCUCUUCGAGACAGAGCAGGAAGAAUAUUAAAAGAGUAAAUUGAUUGAAGCUAGCAUACUAUUUGCUGAUAAUCAAGCUCUCCCGGAUCUCUUUAAGAAGGAAACAGUCCAACAUAGCUUUUUCAUGCUAUGGAAGUAAAGAGCAGGGUAAGCUUCCCUGGUCAAGUAAAGGGUGGUGCACUCUUGGACAAUUCUACUUGAAAUUGAAGUAUGCUAGUGAAAAGCAUGCUGGAACUGACGAAAAACCUGUUGUGCAAUGCGGAAAAUUUUCAAUGAAUGUGGAUGUUGCAUUGGAAGUGCCGAGAAGACCCUGUCAAUGUUGGAUAGAAUGGAAACUUUCGUUCAAUCCAAAAAGAUUGAACUUGAGUUCGAUGGGCAGUUAUGAUAAAAAGAUUGUGGUAAACUUGGUGAUUUCUGCAAACACCUACUUCUAACUGGACAGGUGGUUGUCUCUCGCAUACCAAACGCAUUCUGUCCAAAGUGCUUACCACAUGGCCACCAGAUAUAUGCUGUCUUCUGAUUUCUCAUACUACGCUGAUAGGCAAAGAGCUAAUGACAGAAAAAGGACAUGCUGAAAUGGAGAAAUCAAGGAUGGGGAAGUUAGAAGGAACUGAAAGGAGAAUGCAGCUUCAGGACUAUUCUAUAAGACAGGUAGCUGGAUAAUUCAUUUCUGUUGGUAUCUUACGGAUUUGGAAACCGAGCGAUUUUUCUACCACACUUUACCUCUUGAAGUUGGACCUCCGCUUCAUAAGGAGUUUUUGUGCGAGUCUUUCUUUCAUAAUAAGCUGACACUGACUGCCCAUAGAUACUGUUCUGAAGAGGAGAUUACUGAUGCCAUUCGAGACCGAAUUCAAUCUUGAGGUAAACUUUUGCAUUUGAAUCUUUGUUCUUAAUGGAGUUCAAAAUGAGAAAUGAAUAGCUCAAUAUUAUUAGCGUAGGACUAAUCUUGGAGGGUUCCUGAUUCAAAUCUUUAAUGAAGAAUACCUCUUAAAACCUGGGGACCCCUAUUUAAAGGGCUACAAACCACCCUAUAAGGCACUGGCAAUAGUAACUAAGUCAAAUGACAGCAGCAAAACUAAAAGUUUUAAAGAUCACUCUGCCUUACUUACGGACGAACUGUAAAUACUCUGGCUUCUGAAGACAGUGAAAGGCUUAAGACUAAAUCCAGAAGAUUAAAGCCAUGUAAAGCCACAGUAAAAGAGAAAAUCAACUAAAAAAUACAGUACAUUGAAGAAUACACUACAGCAAUUCACUCUUCCUAAAGAUAACUCAUUCUCGAGUUAACUCAAAAGCCAACUGAAAACCAACUGGGGGCAUGGUAAGCUGUGAGGUAUGAAAAAUUGGAAGUAGGGGAAAUUUUGAAGUGUGGUAGAAGAUGAACUUUGAAGGCAUUAGGACUAUAGCGUUCAUUAAUAGGAAAAGGCCCUAUUUCUCUUUGGAUGGAGCUUGCCAUGAACGCUCGAAGGCAUCCUAGACUUGUGCAAAGGAACAAUCAUGAGAUCCCCAUUGGCAAAGGAUUGAGGGCGGCAGUGCUUAGUGUCACACUUUUACUAUGAACUAUGAAUAGAGUAGGAUGUGACUCUCAGGUUGUGACAAAUGGCCACAUUAGGACCUAGACAAGUGCCAUGAUGCGAUCGAGGAGAACGAUGCAUCAUUUAACACACCACACAUAGUGGACAUUGAAGAAAAUAUGAGACAUAAGCAAGAUAAGGGCCACGAGUGUCAAAGAUGGGCUUGUUGAAGGGCUUUGUAGGGCCCUAGGCCUUAACCUUGAAAGUUGGGGUUUGAAGGAAAUUUGGGCAUGCAAUUUUGGAAUCAAAUAUGUCCAUAUGAAAUAUGAAUGCUCGCCAAAUUUGGUGUCAAUUGGAUACCGGACGGACGCUCCACAACAUCAUAUGAUCGUUUGCCGGAUGUCUACUCGAGGAGGAUUUAAAAUGCCUCAAAAUGUACCUUAGGGGAGGCAUGAUGUCAGCUCUCCACCACCCUUGGGCCCUGUGGCAUAAGUGAGCUACCCUGUGACACAUAUAUGUGUCAAAAUGAGGGCGAGCAUUGCGAGAUGAGUGUCUCAAGUGACUUAUUUUGAAAUGGGUCUUUUAAGAACAAUAUUGGGUGGCACGAGUGUGCUGCUAUUGUGCCCCAUUCCAUGUGUUAGAGGUUAGAUUAUGCACCUGCUAUCCGUUAUGGAGUCUGUAAAGGACAUGACAUGGACACAGGAGGACCAAUGCCUCAAUUGAACCUAGAUGGAUGAAUAUUCGGGAUGUCCCAAUUUCAUGAACGACAUGUGAGCCCUUUCUCGAUGACAUGACUUGAGUGAGUUGUGAUGGCUGACAACACCUUGUGACUUGGGAUGACGUCAAGACAUAUGGUGCAUGUUAAUUGGGAACUAAGAUGACAUGAUGAGAAGCAACGUUGCACAUGAGAGACUUUGGCCCCGAGUAGAGGUAAGAUUGAGCCGAGUGACUUGUCCUAGCGUAGAGGCAAGUCGGUUGUGUUGCAGACAAUUGAACAUGCACGCACAGGCGGCGUGUGUGGCUGAACAAACUUGAAUUUCGUAAGUGAUGUUCGGUUGGUGAAGACAAAUCUCGCUUAAGGUUUGACGAAGCCACAAAGCUGGGCUAAAAAUAAAUAUUGGGCUUGGAUUUCCCUUUAGCUGGUCGUGAGCGUGUCAAGAUCACGACGUCGCACGGUUGAUAAAGUACGACUAUGACAGUUAGCAACCAUCAUAGCUCUCCUUAAAUGCCCGGGUGAACUCUCAAAAUGUAAUUAUUAUAUCAAUUGCUCAUGUAAGGAUGUGUGUGGUAUGGAUAAGACAUUGCUCUUAAACAAAUAUCCAUCAACAAUGUGGAAGUCAUUAGGGUUUAACAUGGUGGCAACAUUUACUCCAAAUAUAGUAAAAAUCAACAUCAAACUCAUCAUAGAUGCUAACUCUUCAAAAACAAUAAUCUCCCUCCUUAGUACAGUAGUCAGAGAAUGUUUCCUACCAAGGACAUCAGCUUCUUUAUUAGUAUUUCCAGCUUUAUGUUUAGUACGAAAGUCAAAUUUGUUAAUAGAAGUGAUCCAUCUAGCAUACUGAUAACGAAAAAGCAAUUGUACUAAAAUCUUUGAUGAACUUUCGAUGAAUAAAAGCCAAACGCCAAAAAAAUAAUUGCACAUUUCCAGCAGUUUUUAGUAAGGGCCACUUUAAUAGCUUUAAUGUGGUAGGAUCUACUGUUAUACUGUUGCUAGCAAUAAUGAACCCCAAAAAUUUAAUUUCCGUUUAUAAGAAGGAACACUCUUUAAGGCUGAUAUAAAGCUGGUUCUUUUCCAAGGUGGCUUUUAGUGUUCUAAGGUAUCCUAGAUGUUCAUCCUUGGAUUUACUACAUAAAAAUUAAACCUUGAAGUUAAGAGGGAAUUGAGUGAUGGAUCAAGGUAUCAAAUUCCUAGCAACAAUCCUCUAUACAGAGUCCUUAAAUCCGCCGAGUCCCAAGAGAGGGAAGGAACUGUAGACCAAGAGCACUUCAAUCUGUCCCUUCAGAACCGUAUGCAUUGUACUUGGUCAGUGUUUAAGGACAGACACACGACGAUGGAAACGAUUGGUAACGUCGUGGGUUCAAUCGGAGUUUUCGCAGUCACACUCCACAAGGGAAAGUUUCCAGGAAUAAGUGGUGGUUGGAGAAGACAUGUCGACCAUUGUCGGAGGAGGUUGGAGGACAAGCAGAAGCGAAACGAAAAAUGGAGAGAGAGAACAAAUUGGAAAUACAGGAAAAAUCAGGCAAGGAAGGCCAACGUGGGUUGGUUUGAACCCGGAUCCAGAAAGUCCUCAAUGUUGAGCCACCGGAGCCGAAUCUCUACUCUACCCAAAUCCAUUCACAGCCCUCUCUGCAUGCGUGUUUAAAACACGACGCAGACGGCUCAGCCCAUGCAUGCUGCAGCUCAACCGUUAACCCGACGACUGCGACCCGCACCCCUCUUAUUUCAACUCGGCUUAGUGCAUUCCGACGGCUUCUAAAUAGCUCAUUUGGUUUGGGUUAGACUAUUUGGACUCGUUUCCUACCUUCUUUACCCUCCAUAAGUGUUUUUGACAUUAUUGGAAGCAUUUGAGGUCAGUAGGACCGGUUUGCUCAAUUUAAAUUAUUUUGAGCUGAAAAUAAAUUUAAAUUAUUUUGAGCUGAAAA